rnacentral:rRNA from 1 species
AGAGUUCGAUCCUGGCUCAAGAUGAACGCUGGUGGCAUGAUUAACACAUGCAAGUUGGACGGGAAACACAGGAAAUGGUGUUUCCAGUGGUGGACGAGUGAGUAAUGCGUAAGAACCUACCUUUGGGAGAGGAACAAUAGCUGGAAACGGCAGCUAAAACCCCAUAGGCUGAGGAGCAAAAGGAGGAAUCUACCCGAGGAGGGUCUUGUAUCUAAUUAGCUAGUUCGUGAGGCAAUAGCUUACCAAGGCGAUGAUCAGUAGUUGGUCUGAGAGGAUGAUCAUCCACACUGGGACUGAGACACAGCCUAGACUCCUACAGAAGGCAGCAGUGGGGAAUUUUCCGCAAUGGGCGAAAGCCUGACGGAGCAAUGCCGCGUGGAGGUAGAAGGCCCACGGGUCGUGAACUUCUUUUCCCGGAGAAGAAGCAAUGACGGUAUCUGGGGAAUAAGCAUCGGCUNGCAAUGAUGGUAUCUGGGGAAUAAGCAUCGGCUAACUCUGUACCAGCAGCCGCGGUAAUACAGAGGAUGCAAGCUUUAUCCGAAAUGAUAGGGCGUAAAGCGUCUGCAGGUGGCUUAUUAAGUCCGCCUCAAAUCCCAAGGAUCAACCCUGGACAGGCGGUGGAAACUACCAAGAUGGAGUAUGAUAGGGGUAGAGGGAAUUUCUGGUGGAGCAGUGAAAUGCGUAGAGAUCAAAAAGAACAUCAACAGCGAAGCACUCUACUGGGCCGACACUGACACUGAGAUAUGAAAGCUAGGGGGCAAAUGGGAUUAGAUGCCCCAGUAGUCCUAGCCGUAAAUGAUGGAUACUAGGCGUUGUGUAUAUCGAACGAUGCAGUACUGUAGCUAACGCGUUAAGUAUCCCACCUGGGGAGUACGUUCGUAAGAAUGAAACUCAAAGGUAUUGAUGGAGGCCCGCACAAGCGGUGAAGCAUGUGGUUUAAUUCGAUGUAAAGCAAAGAACCUUAGCAAGGCUUGACAUAUCACGAAUCCUCUUGAAAGAGAGGGGUGACUUUGGGAAUGCGGACACAGAUGAUGCAUGGCUGUUGUCAGAUCGUGCCGUAAGGUGUUGGGUUAAGUCCUUCAAUGAGCGUAACCCUUGUGUUUAGUUUCCAUCAUUGAGUUUGGAACCCUGAACAGACUGCCGGUAAUAAGCUGGAGAAAGGUGAAGAUGACAUCAAGUCAUCAUGCCCCUUAUGCCCUAGGCGACAUAUGUCCUACAAUGGCCGGGACAAAGGGUCGCGAUCCCGAGAGGGUGAGACAACACUAAAAACCCAUCCUCAAUUCGGAUUGCAGGCUGAAAAUCGCCUGCAUAAAGCUGGAAUCGCUAGUAAUCGCCGGUCAGCCGUACAGUGGUGAAUUCAUUCUUGAGCCUUGUACACACCGCCCGUCACACUAUGAGAGCUGGUCAUGCCCAAAGUAGUUACCUUAACCACAAGGAGAGGGAUGCCAAAAGCAGGGAUAGUGACUGAAGUAAAGUCGUAACAAGGUAGCCAUACUAGAAGAUGCGGCUA